rnacentral:rRNA from 1 species
ACGCACGCUGGCGGCUUGCCUAACACAUGCAAGUCGAACGAGACCUUCGGGUCUAGUGGCGCACGGGUGCGUAACGCGUGGGAACCUGCCCUUAGGUUCGGAAUAACUCCCCGAAAGGGGUGCUAAUACCGGAUAAUGUCUUCGGACCAAAGAUUUAUCGCCUUUGGAUGGGCCCGCGUUGGAUUAGCUAGUUGGUAGGGUAAAAGCCUACCAAGGCGACGAUCCAUAGCUGGUCUGAGAGGAUGAUCAGCCACACUGGGACUGAGACACGGCCCAGACUCCUACGGGAGGCAGCAGUGGGGAAUAUUGGACAAUGGGCGAAAGCCUGAUCCAGCAAUGCCGCGUGAGUGAUGAAGGCCUUAGGGUUGUAAAGCUCUUUUACCCGGGAUGAUAAUGACAGUACCGGGAGAAUAAGCUCCGGCUAACUCCGUG